UUUAUGAUAUCGAUGGAUAAUACUCCUACCAUAUACACACUUUUUAUUCAUCACAAAAACAAACUAAAAAUUUAUAUCAAAUAUCCUUCAUUUUUUCCCUAAAAGUAUUUUUUUGUCAUCAACUUAAAUAGACUCAUAUUGACUCUGUUAACCACACCAGGAGCUCUGCAUCCAUGUGAACAACGAAAGACGGUUGUAUCCUUACACUGCGUGCUAGA
rnacentral:lncRNA from 1 species